GAACUGGAGAUUACAUCACUAUCACAGAAACGUCCGCUGAACGGAUGAUAGCCAGAUCCUCUGAAUAGGUACUCUCAAAUUCAACCCGGGAAUCCGAAAUAAACGGAACCCGCUGAUAAACCACGGACAGAACUCCGGCGUCCCAGAAAUAAAUGUCCAUAAUUCACAGUCACCACUAGUACCAAGAGUCACCAACAAGUCACCAAUAAGUCAGCAACAGUACCUGUAAU
rnacentral:lncRNA from 1 species